CCUAAUGGAGGUGGAGGAGAUUUAGGAGUUGCUCUGGGACCAGACAGGAACCUUUUGGCCAAGUACAGAGCUUUCCCUGAUGCCUAUCGUACCAAAGAAAAGGAGCAUGGCAAACUCAACCCUCGACCAGGCAAGAUGUUCAUAUAUACCCGGCCAGGACGUCAGGGCCAGAGAAUCGAGGUACGAGGAGAUGUGGUGGAUGCCACACAGUGGAC